rnacentral:tRNA from 1 species
GGUUAGAUAACAUAACGGUAAUGUAAAGAUCUGCAAAGUCUGAAAUGGUGGUUCGAUUCCACCUCUAACCU